rnacentral:rRNA from 1 species
CCUACGGGGUGCAGCAGUGGGGAAUAUUGGACAAUGGGCGAAAGCCUGAUCCAGCCAUGCCGCGUGUGUGAAGAAGGCCUUCGGGUUGUAAAGCACUUUCAGUGGGGAAGAAAGCCUUGGGGCUAAUACCCUCGAGGAAGGACAUCACCCACAGAAGAAGCACCGGCUAACUCCGUGCCAGCAGCCGCGGUAAUACGGAGGGUGCGAGCGUUAAUCGGAAUUACUGGGCGUAAAGCGCGCGUAGGCGGUCUGAUAAGCCAGUUGUGAAAGCCCCGGGCUCAACCUGGGAACGGCAUCCGGAACUGUCAGGCUAGAGUGCAGGAGAGGAAGGUAGAAUUCCCGGUGUAGCGGUGAAAUGCGUAGAGAUCGGGAGGAAUACCAGUGGCGAAGGCGGCCUUCUGGACUGACACUGACGCUGAGGUGCGAAAGCGUGGGUAGCAAACAGGAUUAGAUACCCCAGUAGUC